rnacentral:rRNA from 1 species
AGAGUUUGAUCAUGGCUCAGGAUGAACGCUGGCGGUAUGCUUAACACAUGCAAGUCGAACGAAAGUUUUCCAACUUUAGUGGCGAACGGGUGCGUAAUACGUGAGAAUCUACCCUUAGGAGGAGAAUAACUGCUGGAAACGGCUGCUAAGUCUCCAUAUGCCGAGAGGUGAAAUAGUUUUACUGCCUAAGGAUGAGCUCACGCCUGAUUAGCUUGUUGGUAAGGUAAAGGCUUACCAAGGCCACGAUCAGUAGCUGGUUUGAGAGAACGAUCAGCCACACUGGGACUGAGACACGGCCCAGACUCCUCCGGGAGGCAGCAGUGAGGAAUUUUCCGCAAUGGGCGAAAGCCUGACGGAGCAAUACCGCGUGAGGGAUGAAGGAUUUUGGUCUGUAAACCUCUUUUCUCAAGAAAGAAGUUCUGACGGUACUUGAGGAAUAAGCAUCGGCUAACUCCGUGCCAGCAGCCGCGGUAAUACGGAGGGGGCUAGCGUUGUUCGGAAUUACUGGGCGUAAAGCGCACGUAGGCGGCUUUGUAAGUCAGAGGUGAAAGCCUGGAGCUCAACUCCAGAACUGCCUUUGAGACUGCAUCGCUUGAAUCCAGGAGAGGUCAGUGGAAUUCCGAGUGUAGAGGUGAAAUUCGUAGAUAUUCGGAAGAACACCAGUGGCG